rnacentral:rRNA from 1 species
GAGAAUAGGCCCAAGCGACUGUUUACCAAAAACAUAGGUUUCUGCUAAGUCGCAAGACGAUGUAUAGGAGCUGACGCCUGCCCGGUGCUGGAAGGUUAAGGGGAUCUGUUAGAGCAAUCGAAGCAGUGAACUUAAGCCCCAGUAAACGGCGGCCGUAACUAUAACGGUCCUAAGGUAGCGAAAUUCCUUGUCGGGUAAGUUCCGACCCGCACGAAAGGCGUAACGAUUUGGGCACUGUCUCAACAACAGACUCGGUGAAAUUGUAAUUCCGGUGAAGAUGCCGGAUACCUGCGACAGGACGGAAAGACCCCAUGGAGCUUUACUGUAGCUUGACAUUGGGUCUUGGUACUACAUGUACAGGAUAGGUGGGAGGCUUUGAAACCAGGACGCCAGUUUUGGCGGAGCCAUCCUUGGGAUACCACCCUUGUAGUACUGGGACUCUAACCAUAGGCCAUGAAUCUGGUCUUGGGACACUGUCAGGUGGGCAGUUUGACUGGGGCGGUCGCCUCCCAAAAGGUAACGGAGGCGCUCAAAGGUUCUCUCAGUACGGUCGGAAAUCGUACGUAGAGUGUAAAGGCAAAAGAGAGCUUGAUUGCAAGACAUACAGGUCGAGCAAGGAUGAAAAUCGGACUUAGUGAUCCGGUGGUUCUGCGUGGAAGGGCCAUCGCUCAACGGAUAAAAGCUACCCUGGGGAUAACAGGCUUAUCUCCCCCAAGAGUCCACAUCGACGGGGAGGUUUGGCACCUCGAUGUCGGCUCAUCACAUCCUGGGGCUGUAGUAGGUCCCAAGGGUUGGGCUGUUCGCCCAUUAAAGUGGUACGCGAGCUGGGUUCAGAACGUCGUGAGACAGUUCGGUCCCUAUCCGUCGCAGGCGUAGGAAAUUUGAGAAGACCUGUCCUUAGUACGAGAGGACCGGGAUGGACGUACCUCUGGUGUACCAGUUGUCCUGCCAAGGGCAUGGCUGGGUAGCUAUGUACGGAAUGGAUAAGCGCUGAAAGCAUCUAAGCGCGAAGCCAACUUCAAGAUAAGAUUUCCCACCGCAAGGGUAAGACCCCAGAAAGACUAUCUGGUUGAUAGGUCGAAGGUGUAAGUGCAGCAAUGUAUUUAGCUUAUCGAUACUAAUAG